AUGUUUCCUUUUCAGUUCAAGAGGAAGCAAUUUCCAAUAAGGCUCAGCUUCGCCAUGACGGUUAACAAGGCACAGGGGCAAACUAUCCCGAAUGUCGGUAUUUACUUGCCCGAGCCUGUGUUCUCUCACGGGCAGUUGUAUGUUGCACUAUCUAGAUCCACCGCUAGAAAGAAUGUCAAGAUUCUUGCCGUCCCUGAUGCUGGUAAUAAGAAAAGAAACUCAGAUGACAUCAAAAAGAAGAGUUCAACUUGCAGCAAAAACACAUGCGAUUAUCCUGUUGGUACGUACACGAAGAACAUCGUCUAUAAAGAGAUCCUUACAUCAUAG
rnacentral:rRNA from 1 species